rnacentral:pre_miRNA from 1 species
GGCCUAAAUUUGAAGUAGAGUAGAUCAGGACGAUCAUUUGACUCUACUAAACUACUCAACUUCGAGUUUGUGCCC